rnacentral:lncRNA from 1 species
AUAUUUUAUUUUCUUAAUUUUCUAUUUUUAUUUAAUUUUCUUUUUUCUCCUUUGUUUUUAUUAGUUUAAAAAUAGUUUUCUGCAUUUUUUUAAAUUCUGAAAAAAUUAUUUUAUGCUUCUAAUUUUAUUUGCAACCUUCCAUAAUUUUCUUGGCCAUUUAUUUGUUGUUUUGAAGGGCUUGAUGGAUUUUCUCUUUUAUUUCCCUUUUAAAAUUCAUUUUUAAAAUAC